GAUGAACGCUGGCGGCGUGCCUAAUACAUGCAAGUCGAGCGAACAGACGAGGAGCUUGCUCCUCUGACGUUAGCGGCGGACGGGUGAGUAACACGUGGAUAACCUACCUAUAAGACUGGGAUAACUUCGGGAAACCGGAGCUAAUACCGGAUAAUAUAUUGAACCGCAUGGUUCAAUAGUGAAAGACGGUUUUGCUGUCACUUAUAGAUGGAUCCGCGCCGCAUUAGCUAGUUGGUAAGGUAACGGCUUACCAAGGCAACGAUGCGUAGCCGACCUGAGAGGGUGAUCGGCCACACUGGAACUGAGACACGGUCCAGACUCCUACGGGAGGCAGCAGUAGGGAAUCUUCCGCAAUGGGCGAAAGCCUGACGGAGCAACGCCGCGUGAGUGAUGAAGGUCUUCGGAUCGUAAAACUCUGUUAUUAGGAAAGAACAAAUGUGUAAGUAACUAUGCACGUCUUGACGGUACCUAAUCAGAAAGCCACGGCUAACUACGGG
rnacentral:rRNA from 1 species